GAUGAACGCUGGCGGCGUGCCUAAUACAUGCAAGUCGAGCGAACGGACGAGAAGCUUGCUUCUCUGAUGUUAGCGGCGGACGGGUGAGUAACACGUGGAUAACCUACCUAUAAGACUGGGAUAACUUCGGGAAACCGGAGCUAAUACCGGAUGAUAUUUUGAACCGCAUGGUUCAAAAGUGAAAGACGGUCUUGCUGUCACUUAUAGAUGGAUCCGCGCUGCAUUAGCUAGUUGGUAAGGUAACGGCUUACCAAGGCAACGAUGCAUAGCCGACCUGAGAGGGUGAUCGGCCACACUGGAACUGAGACACGGUCCAGACUCCUACGGGAGGCAGCAGUAGGGAAUCUUCCGCAAUGGGCGAACGCCUGACGGAGCAACGCCGCGUGAGUGAUGAAGGUCUUCGGAUCGUAAAACUCUGUUAUUAGGGAAGAACAUAUGUGUAAGUAACUGUGCACAUCUUGACGGUACCUAAUCAGAAAGCCACGGCUAACUACGUG
rnacentral:rRNA from 1 species